CAGCAGCCGCGGGAAUACGAAGGGGGCUAGCGUUGCUCGGAAUGACUGGGCGUAAAGGGCGCGUAGGCGGCUGACACAGUCAGAUGUGAAAUUCCUGGGCUCAACCUGGGGACUGCAUUUGAGACGUGUUGGCUUGAGUGGAGAAGAGGGUCGUGGAAUUUCCAGUGUAGAGGUGAAAUUCGUAGAUAUUGGAAAGAACACCGGUGGCGAAGGCGGCGACCUGGUCUUUAACUGACGCUGAGGCGCGAAAGCGUGGGGAGCAAACAGGAUUAGAUACCCCUGUAGUCCCUGUCUCUUAUAC
rnacentral:rRNA from 1 species